UGCCAGCCGCCGCGGUAAUACGGAGGGGGUUAGCGUUGUUCGGAAUUACUGGGCGUAAAGCGUACGUAGGCGGAUUAAUAAGUUAGAGGUGAAAUCCCAGGGCUCAACCCUGGAACUGCCUUUAAAACUACUAGUCUAGAGUUCGAGAGAGGUGAGUGGAAUUCCGAGUGUAGAGGUGAAAUUCGUAGAUAUUCGGAGGAACACCAGUGGCGAAGGCGGCUCACUGGCUCGAUACUGACGCUCAGGGACGAAAGCGUGGGGAUCAAACAGGAUUAGAUA
rnacentral:rRNA from 1 species